rnacentral:lncRNA from 1 species
CUGGAAGCCAGACAUGAGUCAGAGACUCAGGCUGUUUGACCAGCCCCAGCCCACUCACUGGAGCUUGUGGAAUCGUUCAAAUCCAGCGGCCACAUACUGCCCUCUGUUCUUCAAGUCUGCCAGGUGUGUUCUACCUCUGGGAGGAAUCGCGGCCUGGGAAUGCGGCCCUCGGUCCACUGAAGCGUGCCCAGGUCGCCCUCGACCUCUCGUACAAUCGCCUCAUACUCAGCUCGCAGGCUCUGGAACUGGCGUCGGACCAAGAAGCCCCGGACGCAGGCCUGGUAUGGAGAACGAGAGGAAAGAAGUCCCUUAUCACGGUAAGAGAGGGGGCAUCUCGGAGGACUGUCCUGAAGAGGUCGUCCCGGCGAAUGCAAGAGGGGACCUGACGGCGGGGAAAGGAUAGGUGGGCUGUGCGCUAGGGCUCCGGGGGGCUCGAGGGACGAUGCCAGACUGGAUGCCCCUCCUCGCCUUAAGGCUCUUCCCGUUUCCCUGAUCCGGCGCGAGCGUGUGGUGGGAGUGGGGACGCGCAGGGCAGGGAGUCCGUGGGUCCCAGCUUUCCUCAGCGCGGUUGGGGACAGCCGGUAUCUCCAGAGGUUGGCGCGCAGUUAGGGGACUGAACGUGGUAGCAUCUCGCUGGGAGGUCCAGGUACGAGACCCCAUGAUUUCCCUAAAGGAAAAAUCCUGUGAACCCCGCGCCCGCCCCCGCACCUGCAAUGCAGACACCUUCCGAACCAGCAGCUCUGGCUCCAUGGGCGCCAACUGCCAGGCCCGCCCGCGCGCCUGCGAAGUACGUCAUUGGUCGGCGUCGCUCCUGAGCAUGCGCGGGCGUGGGCUUUGCCCCAGCCGUUCCCACGGCAACCUCCUACCGUCCAGGGUAGAGGCGUCCUGGCGACAGGCGUACCUGCGUCCCCCCAGCCCCCGAC